GUUAAGUGGUAUGUGUUUUGGAGGUCUGGGAACGAUAUGAUCUCUUUGUUUUUUUUUAAAUUCUUUAUUUUGGCAGGUGAUAUAUGACAAUACAGCAGUUUCAUUGUAUCACAGUAUAUAACCAUGUGCAGUAUUUGCAAACAAUGAUGUCUAGUGUGUUCACCUAUUUUUAUGUUCAAAUGAUAACUAUCGGUAGAUGAG